CUCGUAGCUUGCUAUGAGAACAGUUAGUGGCAGACGGGUGAGUAAUGCAUAGGAAUCUACCUAGUAGUAUAGGAUAGCCACUAGAAGUGGUGGGUAAUACUGUAUAAUCCCUGCGGGGGAAAGAUUUAUCGCUACAUGAUGAGCCUAUGUUAGAUUAGCUAGUUGGUGGGGUAAUGGCCUACCAAGGCAGUGAUCUAUAGCUGGUCUGAGAGGAUGAUCAGCCACACUGGAACUGAGACACGGUCCAGACUCCUACGGGAGGCAGCAGUGGGGAAUAUUGGACAAUGGGCGCAAGCCUGAUCCAGCUAUGCCGCGUGAGUGAGGAAGGCCUUAGGGUUGUAAAACUCUUUCAGUGGGGAAGAUAGUGACGGUACCCACAGAAGAAGUCCCGGCAAACUCCGUGCCAGCAGCCGCGGUAAUACGGAGGGGGCAAGCGUUGUUCGGAAUUAUUGGGCGUAAAGGGCAUGUAGGUGGUUUGGUUAGUUAAAGGUGAAAUGCCAGGGCUUAACCCUGGAGCUGCUUYYAAUACUGCCAGACUGGAGUCCGGGAGA
rnacentral:rRNA from 1 species